rnacentral:rRNA from 1 species
UGCAAGUCGAGCGAAUCUUUGGGAGCUUGCUCCUAAAGAUUAGCGGCGGACGGGUGAGUAACACGUGGGCAACCUGCCUAUAAGACUGGGAUAACUUCGGGAAACCGGAGCUAAUACCAGAUAAUUCUUUUCUACUCAUGUAGGAAAGCUGAAAGACGGUUUACGCUGUCACUUAUAGAUGGGCCCGCGGCGCAUUAGCUAGUUGGUGAGGUAACGGCUCACCAAGGCCACGAUGCGUAGCCGACCUGAGAGGGUGAUCGGCCACACUGGGACUGAGACACGGCCCAGACUCCUACGGGAGGCAGCAGUAGGGAAUCUUCCGCAAUGGACGAAAGUCUGACGGAGCAACGCCGCGUGAGUGAUGAAGGUUUUCGGAUCGUAAAACUCUGUUGUUAGGGAAGAACAAGUACGAGAGUAACUGCUCGUACCUUGACGGUACCUAACCAGAAAGCCACGGCUAACUACGUGCCAGCAGCCGCGGUAAUACGUAGGUGGCAAGCGUUGUCCGGAAUUAUUGGGCGUAAAGCGCGCGCAGGCGGUCCUUUAAGUCUGAUGUGAAAGCCCACGGCUCAACCGUGGAGGGUCAUUGGAAACUGGGGGACUUGAGUGCAGGAGAGAAGAGUGGAAUUCCACGUGUAGCGGUGAAAUGCGUAGAGAUGUGGAGGAACACCAGUGGCGAAGGCGACUCUUUGGCCUGUAACUGACGCUGAGGCGCGAAUGCGUG